AGUGAACGCUGGCGGUAGGCCUAACACAUGCAAGUCGAACGGCAGCGCAGUAAGAGCUUGCUCUUACGGGUGGCGAGUGGCGGACGGGUGAGGAAUACAUCGGAAUCUACUUUUUCGUGGGGGAUAAUGUAGGGAAACUUACGCUAAUACCGCAUACGACCUACGGGUGAAAGCAGGGGAUCUUCGGACCUUGCGCGAUUGAAUGAGCCGAUGUCGGAUUAGCUAGUUGGCGGGGUAAAGGCCCACCAAGGCGACGAUCCGUAGCUGGUCUGAGAGGAUGAUCAGCCACACUGGAACUGAGACACGGUCCAGACUCCUACGGGAGGCAGCAGUGGGGAAUAUUGGACAAUGGGCGCAAGCCUGAUCCAGCCAUACCGCGUGGGUGAAGAAGGCCUUCGGGUUGUAAAGCCCUUUUGUUGGGAAAGAAAAGCAGCAGGUUAAUACCCCGCUGUUCUGACGGUACCCAAAGAAUAAGCACCGGCUAACUUCGUG
rnacentral:rRNA from 1 species